rnacentral:rRNA from 1 species
GCAAGUCGAGGGGUAACAUAGGGUGCUUGCACCCUGAUGACGACCGGCGCACGGGUGCGUAACGCGUAUAGAACCUACCUUUUACAGAGGGAUAGCCUUUAGAAAUGAAGAUUAAUACCUCAUAGUACUAUAGAUUCGCAUGAAUUUAUACUUAAAGAUUUAUCGGUAAAAGAUGGCUAUGCGUCCUAUUAGCUAGAUGGUAAGGUAACGGCUUACCAUGGCAACGAUAGGUAGGGGUCCUGAGAGGGAGAUC